rnacentral:lncRNA from 1 species
AGCACGCCGUCUUUACAGAGAAUAUCACCGCUAUGACAAAAUCAAAUAUAUACCAGAUAGCUGCUGUCGAAAUAAUGCCAAUUUAACUCGUUGCACAGGAGGAGUUGAAAAAGAUAUGGCUCCAUAUUUAGGACCGCCAUUACAGCCACAUCAAAUUAAUGAUCUAAUGUACGGCAAGGGCUGCUUCUCUGCUAUUUCUGAUCUUUUCUACACUCAUCUAAACGCUUUAGGUGGAGCAGCUUGUGGCGUUGCUUUGUUGAUGGU